rnacentral:rRNA from 1 species
UGAGUACGAGAUGCUACGGCAUCGAAGCAGUCUAUGUCAUACUUCCAAGAAAAGCUUGCAAUGUCAUAAACAAAUAAUGCCUGUACCAUAACCGACACAGGUGGGUAGGUAGAGUAUACUAAGGGGCGCGAGAUAACUCUCUCUAAGGAACUCGGCAAAAUGACUCCGUAACUUCGGGAGAAGGAGUGCCUUAUUUUUAUAAGGUUGCAAUAACAAGAUCCAAGCAACUGUUUACCAAAAACACAGGUCUCCGCUAAGUCGUAAGACGAUGUAUGGGGGCUGACGCCUGCCCAGUGCCAGAAGGUUAAAGAAGUUGGUUAGCAUUAGCGAAGCUGAUAACUGAAGCCCUGGUGAACGGCGGCCGUAACAAUAACGGUCCUAAGGUAGCGAAAUUCCUUGUCGGGUAAGUUCCGACCCGCACGAAAGGCGUAAUGAUUUGGAUACUGUCUCGGAGAGGGGCUCGGUGAAAUAGACUUGUCUGUGAAGAUGCGGACUACCUGCACCUGGACAGAAAGACCCUAUGAAGCUUUACUGUAACUUGAGAUUGAAAUUGGACUUUAUCUGCGCAGUAUAGGUGGGAGACGUUGAAAAUAUUCUUGCGGGAAUAUUGGAGUCAUCAGUGAGAUACCACUCUUAUAAUGUUAGAUUUCUAACUUUGUAUCAUUAUCUGGUCAAAGAACAGUUUCAGGCGGGCAGUUUGACUGGGGCGGUCGCCUCCCAAACGGCAACGGAGGCGCACAAAGGUUUCCUCUGAACGUGUAGAAAUCGUAUCUAGAGUGUAAAGGCAUAAGGAAGCUUGACUGUGAGACCUACAAGUCGAGCAGGGACGAAAGUCGGUCUUAGUGAUCUGACGGUGCUGAGUGGAAAGUCCGUCACUCAACGGAUAAAAGUUACUCUAGGAUGACAGGCUGAUCUCCCCCAAGAGUUCACAUCGACGGGGAGGUUUGGCACCUCGAUGUCGGCUCAUCGCAUCCUGGGGCGGUAGUACGUCCCAAGGGUUGGGCUGUUCGCCCAUGAAAGCGGUACGCGAGCUGGGUUCAGAACGUCGUGAGACGGUUCGGUCCAUAUCCGGUGUAGGCGUUAGAAUAUUGAGAGGAGCCUUCUUUAGUACGAGAGGACCGAGAAGGACAUACCUCUGGUGUACCAGUUAUCGUGCCAACGGUAAACGCUGGGUAGCCAUGUAUGGAGAGGAUAACCGCUGAAAGCAUCUAAGUGGGAAGCCCACCUCAAGAUAAGUAUUCUCAUC